AGUGGAUGGGGAGCAACCUAGUUGUGCGUGUGUAAAGGUAGUGCCAAGAAAAGCGGUGAUCAUGAUGAAAAUCAAUUCCCGGUACCCGAAACCGACACAGGUGGGCAAGUAGAGAAUACUAAGGGGCGCGAGGUAACUCUCUCCAAGGAACUCGGCAAGAUGACCCCGUAACUUAGGGAGAAGGGGUGCCACCGAGAGGUGGUCGCAGUGAAGAGGCCCAGGCGACUGUUUAGCAAAAACAUAGGUCUCUGCAAACUCGAAAGAGGAGGUAUAGGGGCUGACGCCUGCCCAGUGCCGGAAGGUUAAAGAAGUUGGUCAGUCUUAGGAUAAAGCUAGCGACUGAAGCCCCGGUGAACGGCGGCCGUAACUAUAACGGUCCUAAGGUAGCGAAAUUCCUUGUCGGGUAAGUUCCGACCCGCACGAAAGGCGUAACGAUCUGGGCGCUGUCUCGGAGAGAGGCUCGGCGAAAUAGGAUUGUCUGUGAAGAUACGGACUACCUGCAUUUGGACAGAAAGACCCUAUGAAGCUUUACUAUAGCUUGGAAUUGUGUUCGGGCUUCCUGUGCGCAGGAUAGGUGGGAGGCGAAGAAGGUAUUCUUGUGGGGAUACUGGAGCCAACGGUGAGAUACCACUCUCAGGAGGCUAGAAUUCUAACUUAAUUAAGGACAGUUUCAGGUGGGUAGUUUGACUGGGGCGGUCGCCUCCAAAAAGGUAACGGAGGCGUACAAAGGUUCCCUCAGACUGGUUGGAAAUCAGUCGCAGAGUGCAAAGGCAGAAGGGAGCUUGACUGCGAGAAGUACAGUUCGAGCAGGGUGGAAACACGGUCUUAGUGAUCCGACGGUGCUGUGUGGAAGGGCCGUCGCUCAACGGAUAAAAGUUACUCUAGGAUAACAGGCUGAUCUCCCCCAAGAGUUCACAUCGACGGGGAGGUUUGGCACCUCGAUGUCGGCUCAUCGCAACCUGGGGCGGAAGUACGUCCCAAGGGUUGGGCUGUUCGCCCAUUAAAGCGGUACGUGAGCUGGGUUCAGAACGUCGUGAGACAGUUCGGUCCAUAUCCGAUGUAGGCGUGAGAAUAUUGAGAGGAGCCUUCCUUAGUACGAGAGGACCGGGAAGGACGCACCGCUGGUGUACCUGUUAUGAUGCCAAUUGUAAACGCAGGGUAGCCAAGUGCGGAGAGGAUAACCGCUGAAAGCAUCUAAGUGGGAAGCCCACCUCAAGAUGAGUAUUCUGGUGUAAGGUCACGGGAAGACGACCCGUAAAUAGGCACGAGGUGGAAGUGCAGAGAUGUAUGAAGCCGAAGUGUACUAAUAGACCGUCGGCUUGAUC
rnacentral:rRNA from 1 species